UACGCUUGGUGCUGAAUUAAUGUUAGUGAA
rnacentral:piRNA from 1 species